GGAUUCCCCNCAGUAAGGGCGACUGAAAAGGGAUGAGCCCAGCGCAUAAUCUGGUCCACCUGAGGCGGGUGGGCGAGAGGUGUUGCGUAUCGGAGGGGUCCGGCACGGCCAGCCAUCCCGCCUAAGUUUUGACUUGAACGUGCCCAAACCCGCGGAGGGUGAAAGGCCCGUAUGGCGUUGCCUCCCAGUAAGGAUGAUGUGCAGGCCGGAAAGGAUCCCUCUGUUGAGUCGGGUUGCUUAAUAGUGCAGCCCUAAGACAGGUGGUAAACUCCAUCUAAGGCUAAAUACUACCACGAGACCGAUAGUGAACAAGUACCGUGAGGGAAAGUUGAAAAGAACUUUGAAGAGAGAGUUCAAUAGUACGUGAAACCGUUAAGAGGUAAACGGAUGGACGCCAGAAGGUCGAAGAGGGGGAUUCAGCUUGUUUGGUAUGGGCGGGCUCACAGGUUGUGACUGUGGCCUCGGGCCCUCAAGGGUUCGUGUGUCAUGGCUCGCUGUGGUGCUGAUCAGCAUGCCAUCUUGCGGAUUUCUCCCUUGGUAGGUCGUCGCGAGCCGUUGCGCAGCGUCAGGGCCCGACGGGAUUGGUAAUCGAAUGGUGCAUCGCUGCAUCCCUGUGGUGUGUGGUGCGUUGUUUGGUGAAACCCUCGGUAUACCCCGAGUGUCGCGCGACGGUUCCUCCCCGGGGCUACGGCUCUCGCGGCGUAUUUCCAGUCGGCGUUCCAUCCGCCCCGUCUUGAAACACGGACCAAGGAGUCUAACAUGUGCGCGAGCCUAAGGGUGUACUAAACCUACAGGCGCAAUGAAAGUGAAGUUGCUUGGCGCCCCCGUUGGAGUGGGCUGCUCUCCCGCAGUAGGCGGGCAGCGACAGCAUUGUUGCUGGCCGUGUGUUGCAUUACGGGUUGGGCAUGUCGUGUCUGCGGAGUGGCAGCCUUUGGGUCGAUCCCGCUGCCAUGAUGCAGUGUGGCGCAGACCCCGGACUUGCAUACGGACCCCUGGGUGUCCUUUUGCGGUCCUCUCCGGAGGGUGGCAAGAGGCCUUUGGGCUUGUCCGCAAGUACCGUGAGUGUACAUGUUAGGACCCGAAAGAUGGUGAACUAUGCCUGGCCAGGAUGAAGCCAGAGGAAACUCUGGUGGAGGUCCGAAGCGCUUCUGACGUGCAAAUCGAUCGUCGGAGCUGGGUAUAGGGGCGAAAGACUAAUCGAACCAUCUAGUAGCUGGUUCCCUCCGAAGUUUCCCUCAGGAUAGCUGGCGGUCUUUUUUGGGAAUUUCACCUGGUAAAGCUAAUGAUUAGAGGUGUUGGGGACGAAACGUCCUCAACCUAUUCUCAAACUUUAAAUGGGUGAGGGACCGGACUUGCUUGAAGCGGAGCCGGUCUCUGUCGAGGUGUGGGCUCUUCCUUGUGUUGAUGAAGUCCCGGUCGACAAUCCCGACUGCCCAGUGGGCCGUUUUUGGUAAGCAGAAUGGCNGCUGUGGA
rnacentral:rRNA from 1 species